AGUGAACGCUGGCGGUAGGCCUAACACAUGCAAGUCGAACGGCAGCACAGUAAGAGCUUGCUCUUACGGGUGGCGAGUGGCGGACGGGUGAGGAAUACAUCGGAAUCUACUUUUUCGUGGGGGAUAACGUAGGGAAACUUACGCUAAUACCGCAUACGACCUACGGGUGAAAGCAGGGGAUCUUCGGACCUUGCGCGAUUGAAUGAGCCGAUGUCGGAUUAGCUAGUUGGCGGGGUAAAGGCCCACCAAGGCGACGAUCCGUAGCUGGUCUGAGAGGAUGUUCAGCCACACUGGAACUGAGACACGGUCCAGACUCCUACGGGAGGCAGCAGUGGGGAAUAUUGGACAAUGGGCGCAAGCCUGAUCCAGCCAUACCGCGUGGGUGAAGAAGGCCUUCGGGUUGUAAAGCCCUUUUGUUGGGAAAGAAAAGCAGCAGGUUAAUACCCCGCUGUUCUGACGGUACCCAAAGAAUAAGCACCGGCUAACCUCGUG
rnacentral:rRNA from 1 species